rnacentral:lncRNA from 1 species
AGUAGAGGAGGAGUAGUCGGAUGGAUUUGAUAGCAAGGAGGAUGGACGUAUCAGCCGUGGUGGUAUUGAUGUUGAAUAGAGGGGGGUGAUGGGGAGGAGGGAGCCAUUGUUAUGAUGAGGGGGAGGCAAGUGAAGAGGGUUUUAGUUGGGAUGGAGAUGAAGGGAUGAAAAAAAAUAUUAAAUAUUUUUAUUUGGAAAUGUUAGAAAAAGAGAGGCUCAAUCGAAUCUGCUUUAGAUC